GGAGAGGUGUCCGAGCGGCCGAAGGAGCACGACUGGAAAUCGUGUAUACGUGAAAGCGUAUCCAGGGUUCAAAUCCCUGCCUCUCCGCCA
rnacentral:tRNA from 1 species